rnacentral:rRNA from 1 species
UUUGGCGCGGUGCCUUCCGAGUUCCCUGGAACGGGACGCCUUAGAGGGUGAGAGCCCCGUACGGUCGGACACCAAGCCUCUGUAAAGCUCCCUCGACGAGUCGAGUUGUUUGGGAAUGCAGCUCUAAAUGGGAGGUAAAUUUCUUCUAAAGCUAAAUACCGGCCAGAGACCGAUAGCGCACAAGUAGAGUGAUCGAAAGAUGAAAAGCACUUUGAAAAGAGGGUUAAACAGCACGUGAAAUUGUUGAAAGGGAAGCGUUUAUGACCAGACCUCUGUCUGGCGGAUCAUCCGGGGUUCUCCCCGGUGCACUUCGCCCGGCUCAGGCCAGCAUCGGUUUCUGUGGGGGGAUAAAAGCUCGGGGAACGUAGCUCCCCCGGGAGUGUUAUAGCCCCUUGCAUAAUGCCCCCACGGGGACCGAGGUUCGCGCUCUGCAAGGAUGCUGGCGUAAUGGUUAUCAACGACCCGUCUUGAAACACGGACCAAGGAGUCGAACAUUUGUGCGAGUGUUAGGGUGUCAAACCCCUACGCGUAAUGAAAGUGAACGGAGGUGAGAGCCCUUACGGGUGCAUCAUCGACCGAUCCUGAAGUCUUCGGAUGGAUUUGAGUAAGAGCGUAACUGUUCGGACCCGAAAGAUGGUGAACUAUGCGUGGAUAGG